rnacentral:rRNA from 1 species
AGUGAACGCUGGCGGUAGGCCUAACACAUGCAAGUCGAACGGCAGCACAGGAGAGCUUGCUCUCUGGGUGGCGAGUGGCGGACGGGUGAGGAAUACAUCGGAAUCUACUCUGUCGUGGGGGAUAACGUAGGGAAACUUACGCUAAUACCGCAUACGACCUACGGGUGAAAGCAGGGGACCUUCGGUCCUUGCGCGAGUGAAUGAGCCGAUGUCGGAUUAGCUAGUUGGCGGGGUAAAGGCCCACCAAGGCGACGAUCCGUAGCUGGUCUGAGAGGAUGAUCAGCCACACUGGAACUGAGACACGGUCCAGACUCCUACGGGAGGCAGCAGUGGGGAAUAUUGGACAAUGGGCGCAAGCCUGAUCCAGCCAUACCGCGUGGGUGAAGAAGGCCUUCGGGUUGUAAAGCCCUUUUGUUGGGAAAGAAAUCCAGCUGGCUAAUACCCGGUUGGGAUGACGGUACCCAAAGAAUAAGCACCGGCUAACUUCGUGCCAGCCGCCGCUGUAA